rnacentral:rRNA from 1 species
UGGGGAAUAUUGCACAAUGGGCGCAAGCCUGAUGCAGCCAUGCCGCGUGUAUGAAGAAGGCCUUCGGGUUGUAAAGUACUUUCAGCGGGGAGGAAGGGAGUAAAGUUAAUACCUUUGCUCAUUGACGUUACCCGCAGAAGAAGCACCGGCUAACUCCGUGCCAGCAGCCGCGGUAAUACGGAGGGUGCAAGCGUUAAUCGGAAUUACUGGGCGUAAAGCGCACGCAGGCGGUUUGUUAAGUCAGAUGUGAAAUCCCCGGGCUCAACCUGGGAACUGCAUCUGUUACUGGCAAGCUUGAGUCUCGUAGAGGGGGGUAGAAUUCCAGGUGUAGCGGUGAAAUGCGUAGAGAUCUGGAGGAAUACCGGUGGCGAAGGCGGCCCCCUGGACAAAGACUGACGCUCAGGUGCGAAAGCGGGGGGAGCAAACAGG